rnacentral:rRNA from 1 species
UUAAGCGACUAAGCGUACACGGUGGAUGCCCUGGCAGUCAGAGGCGAUGAAGGACGUGCUAAUCUGCGAUAAGCGUCGGUAAGGUGAUAUGAACCGUUAUAACCGGCGAUUUCCGAAUGGGGAAACCCAGUGUGUUUCGACACACUAUCAUUAACUGAAUCCAUAGGUUAAUGAGGCGAACCGGGGGAACUGAAACAUCUAAGUACCCCGAGGAAAAGAAAUCAACCGAGAUUCCCCCAGUAGCGGCGAGCGAACGGGGAGCAGCCCAGAGCCUGAAUCAGUGUGUGUGUUAGUGGAAGCGUCUGGAAAGGCGCGCGAUACAGGGUGACAGCCCCGUACACAAAAAUGCACAUGCUGUGAGCUCGAUGAGUAGGGCGGGACACGUGGUAUCCUGUCUGAAUAUGGGGGGACCAUCCUCCAAGGCUAAAUACUCCUGACUGACCGAUAGUGAACCAGUACCGUGAGGGAAAGGCGAAAAGAACCCCGGCGAGGGGAGUGAAAAAGAACCUGAAACCGUGUACGUACAAGCAGUGGGAGCACGCUUAGGCGUGUGACUGCGUACCUUUUGUAUAAUGGGUCAGCGACUUAUAUUCUGUAGCAAGGUUAACCGAAUAGGGGAGCCGAAGGGAAACCGAGUCUUAACUGGGCGUUAAGUUGCAGGGUAUAGACCCGAAACCCGGUGAUCUAGCCAUGGGCAGGUUGAAGGUUGGGUAACACUAACUGGAGGACCGAACCGACUAAUGUUGAAAAAUUAGCGGAUGACUUGUGGCUGGGGGUGAAAGGCCAAUCAAACCGGGAGAUAGCUGGUUCUCCCCGAAAGCUAUUUAGGUAGCGCCUCGUGAAUUCAUCUCCGGGGGUAGAGCACUGUUUCGGCAAGGGGGUCAUCCCGACUUACCAACCCGAUGCAAACUGCGAAUACCGGAGAAUGUUAUCACGGGAGACACACGGCGGGUGCUAACGUCCGUCGUGAAGAGGGAAACAACCCAGACCGCCAGCUAAGGUCCCAAAGUCAUGGUUAAGUGGGAAACGAUGUGGGAAGGCCCAGACAGCCAGGAUGUUGGCUUAGAAGCAGCCAUCAUUUAAAGAAAGCGUAAUAGCUCACUGGUCGAGUCGGCCUGCGCGGAAGAUGUAACGGGGCUAAACCAUGCACCGAAGCUGCGGCAGCGACACUAUGUGUUGUUGGGUAGGGGAGCGUUCUGUAAGCCUGUGAAGGUGUGCUGUGAGGCAUGCUGGAGGUAUCAGAAGUGCGAAUGCUGACAUAAGUAACGAUAAAGCGGGUGAAAAGCCCGCUCGCCGGAAGACCAAGGGUUCCUGUCCAACGUUAAUCGGGGCAGGGUGAGUCGACCCCUAAGGCGAGGCCGAAAGGCGUAGUCGAUGGGAAACAGGUUAAUAUUCCUGUACUUGGUGUUACUGCGAAGGGGGGACGGAGAAGGCUAUGUUGGCCGGGCGACGGUUGUCCCGGUUUAAGCGUGUAGGCUGGUUUUCCAGGCAAAUCCGGAAAAUCAAGGCUGAGGCGUGAUGACGAGGCACUACGGUGCUGAAGCAACAAAUGCCCUGCUUCCAGGAAAAGCCUCUAAGCAUCAGGUAACAUCAAAUCGUACCCCAAACCGACACAGGUGGUCAGGUAGAGAAUACCAAGGCGCUUGAGAGAACUCGGGUGAAGGAACUAGGCAAAAUGGUGCCGUAACUUCGGGAGAAGGCACGCUGAUAUGUAGGUGAAGCGACUUGCUCGUGGAGCUGAAAUCAGUCGAAGAUACCAGCUGGCUGCAACUGUUUAUUAAAAACACAGCACUGUGCAAACACGAAAGUGGACGUAUACGGUGUGACGCCUGCCCGGUGCCGGAAGGUUAAUUGAUGGGGUUAGCGCAAGCGAAGCUCUUGAUCGAAGCCCCGGUAAACGGCGGCCGUAACUAUAACGGUCCUAAGGUAGCGAAAUUCCUUGUCGGGUAAGUUCCGACCUGCACGAAUGGCGUAAUGAUGGCCAGGCUGUCUCCACCCGAGACUCAGUGAAAUUGAACUCGCUGUGAAGAUGCAGUGUACCCGCGGCAAGACGGAAAGACCCCGUGAACCUUUACUAUAGCUUGACACUGAACAUUGAGCCUUGAUGUGUAGGAUAGGUGGGAGGCUUUGAAGUGUGGACGCCAGUCUGCAUGGAGCCGACCUUGAAAUACCACCCUUUAAUGUUUGAUGUUCUAACGUUGACCCGUAAUCCGGGUUGCGGACAGUGUCUGGUGGGUAGUUUGACUGGGGCGGUCUCCUCCUAAAGAGUAACGGAGGAGCACGAAGGUUGGCUAAUCCUGGUCGGACAUCAGGAGGUUAGUGCAAUGGCAUAAGCCAGCUUGACUGCGAGCGUGACGGCGCGAGCAGGUGCGAAAGCAGGUCAUAGUGAUCCGGUGGUUCUGAAUGGAAGGGCCAUCGCUCAACGGAUAAAAGGUACUCCGGGGAUAACAGGCUGAUACCGCCCAAGAGUUCAUAUCGACGGCGGUGUUUGGCACCUCGAUGUCGGCUCAUCACAUCCUGGGGCUGAAGUAGGUCCCAAGGGUAUGGCUGUUCGCCAUUUAAAGUGGUACGCGAGCUGGGUUUAGAACGUCGUGAGACAGUUCGGUCCCUAUCUGCCGUGGGCGCUGGAGAACUGAGGGGGG